rnacentral:rRNA from 1 species
UACGGGAGGCAGCGGUGGGGAAUAUUGCACAAUGGGCGAAAGCCUGAUGCAGCUAUGCCGCGUGUAUGAAGAAGGCCUUAGGGUUGUAAAGUACUUUCAUCGGGGAGGAAAAAACAAAACUAAUAAUUUUAUUUCUUGACGUUACCCGAAAAAGAAGCACCGGCUAACUCCGUGCCAGCAGCCGCGGUAAUACGGAGGGUGCUAGCGUUAAUCAGAAUUACUGGGCGUAAAGAGCACGUAGGUGGUUUUUUUAAAGUCAGAUGUGAAAUCCCUGGGCUUAACCUGGAACUGCAUUUUGAAACUGAAAUACUAGAGUAUCGUAGAGGGAGGUAGAAUUCUAGGUGUAGCGGUGAAAUGCGUAGAUAUCUGGAGGAAUACCUGUGGCGAAAGCGGCCUCCUAAACGAAUACUGACACUGAGGUGCGAAAGCGUGGGGAGCAAACGAGGGAUUAGAUACCCGU